CUUGAGCUUGAUCCCUGGCUCAGAUUGAACGCUGGCGGCAUGCCUUACACAUGCAAGUCGAACGGCAGCACGGGAGCAAUCCUGGUGGCGAGUGGCGAACGGGUGAGUAAUACAUCGGAACGUGCCCAAUCGUGGGGGAUAACGCAGCGAAAGCUGUGCUAAUACCGCAUAAGAUCUACGGAUGAAAGCAGGGGAUCGCAAGACCUUGCGCGAAUGGAGCGGCCGAUGGCAGAUUAGGUAGUUGGUGAGGUAAAGGCUCACCAAGCCUUCGAUCUGUAGCUGGUCUGAGAGGACGACCAGCCACACUGGGACUGAGACACGGCCCAGACUCCUACGGGAGGCAGCAGUGGGGAAUUUUGGACAAUGGGCGCAAGCCUGAUCCAGCCAUGCCGCGUGCAGGAUGAAGGCCUUCGGGUUGUAAACUGCUUUUGUACGGAACGAAACGGUCCCUUCUAAUACAGGGGGCUAAUGACGGUACCGUAAGAAUAAGCACCGGCUAA
rnacentral:rRNA from 1 species